rnacentral:rRNA from 1 species
GACGAACGCUGGCGGCGUGCUUAACACAUGCAAGUCGAACGGAAAGGCCCUGCUUUUGUGGGGUGCUCGAGUGGCGAACGGGUGAGUAACACGUGAGUAACCUGCCCUUGACUUUGGGAUAACUUCAGGAAACUGGGGCUAAUACCGGAUAGGAGCUCCUGCUGCAUGGUGGGGGUUGGAAAGUUUCGGCGGUCGGGGAUGGACUCGCGGCUUAUCAGCUUGUUGGUGGGGUAGUGGCUUACCAAGGCUUUGACGGGUAGCCGGCCUGAGAGGGUGACCGGCCACAUUGGGACUGAGAUACGGCCCAGACUCCUACGGGAGGCAGCAGUGGGGAAUAUUGCACAAUGGGCGGAAGCCUGAUGCAGCAACGCCGCGUGCGGGAUGGCGGCCUUCGGGUUGUAAACCGCUUUCGCCUGUGACGAAGCGUGAGUGACGGUAAUGGGUAAAGAAGCACCGGCUAACUACGUG